rnacentral:tRNA from 1 species
GCUUUUAAAGGAUAAUAGACAUCCACUG